rnacentral:rRNA from 1 species
CGGUAGCAGAGAAGCUUGCAUUCUCUUGAGAGCGUCGGACGGGUGAGUAAAGCCUAGGAAUCUGCCUGAUAGUGGGGGAUAACGUUCGGAAACGGACGCUAAUACCGCAUACGUCCUACGGGAGAAAGCAGGGGACCUUCGGGCCUUGCGCUAUCAGAUGGGCCUAGGUCGGAUUAGCUAGUUGGUGAGGUAAUGGCUCACCAAGGCGACGAUCCGUAACUGGUCUGAGAGGAUGAUCAGUCACACUGGAACUGAGACACGGUCCAGACUCCUACGGGAGGCAGCAGUGGGGAAUAUUGGACAAUGGGCGAAAGCCUGAUCCAGCCAUGCCGCGUGUGUG